UACGAAGGGGGCUAGCGUUGCUCGGAAUCACUGGGCGUAAAGCGCACGUAGGCGGCUUGUUAAGUCAGGGGUGAAAUCCUGGAGCUCAACUCCAGAACUGCCUUUGAUACUGGCGAGCUUGAGUUCGGGAGAGGUGAGUGGAACUGCGAGUGUAGAGGUGAAAUUCGUAGAUAUUCGCAAGAACACCAGUGGCGAAGGCGGCUCACUGGCCCGAUACUGACGCUGAGGAGCGAAAGCCAGGGGAGCAAACGGG
rnacentral:rRNA from 1 species